AGGACCACCAGGAGGGAAUCAUGUCUAUCUCUGUUGUGUCAUUGUUGUGUUAGUGUUGCCUUUCAACACUUGAUGAAUGCUAAUGUAGCCACCUUGGGGUUAUUCAUCGUGAUGGAAAUCAGGGACACCAUGAAUCACGGAAAUCCCCAGCAUCUUAUCAAGUCUUCUGUCUGCUCAUUAGAGUGAUUUCUGGGGGUACAAGCCUCCCCAGAAUUCCACUCCACACAGGAGAAAAAUCCUAAAAAUGUUACCAAAACUUAAUGGUACAGUGGAAUGAAGACAGGCUUUGGAGGCAAAGAGCCUUGGCUGAGAUACUAUGGGAGAAUUUCUCCUUGACUGAGAUGAGUUAUCUUACUCCCAAUGAGAGAGCUCAUUCAUUUUAUAUAUUGUCAGGUGCUGCUCUAGUGACUUUUCUCCCUCAUCUGUACCUUCCAGUGUGCCAAACUGAGAUAAAAAUAUUCUCCUCUGGGGAAAUUUCAAGAUCAAUAAAUGGAAAAAGCCAGAGGCAACAUGUCAAGGGGAGGGAAAAGACUGAUGAUAUAUGACAUUUUCAACCACAGCCAGAGAGAUUGGAUAUUUAUAACUUUGGCAACCGACUUUGGAGAUUUUCUCUCUAGGUAUCCCAACUGGUGGCACGUGACUCUUUUACCCUUUAAUUUGGUUUAACAAAGUAAUCUUGACUUCCAAUUUAUACCAUGCUCUUCCCUGGUGGUAUAUGCAUUUUGUAGAAAACAGCCACAAGCAAGUUCUAGAAUAUUCUCCUGUCUUUCCCAAUGGAUAGCACUUGGCACCCUGCCUGUUCUUGUUGUUAGUCUAUGCUACUUGAAAAAAUUUGCAUAAAUAAUUUUCCUUCUCCUGAUUAAACUCUGCUUUCGCAGAAAGGCUUACUACUUACCAGAUUGAUGGAGUUCAAAACACAAGUUAAUUUGAGUUAUUUCCUCUUUCUCAAUUCACUGACUUAUUUGAAAAAGCAAUAACAAAAGCCUGGGAUACAUCAGGAAGGCAAAACUGUAAUUUGGUUAAAGAGCUUCAUUCUUAAUUACCUUGCUAUUAAAUUUCCCACAUUGCUUCAAUUCACAGCCUCAGGACUGCAUUUCCAUUUUCAAUUGA
rnacentral:lncRNA from 1 species